rnacentral:misc_RNA from 1 species
GAUGAAGAACGUAGCGAAAUGCGAUAAGUAAUGCGAAUUGCAGAAUUCAGUGAGUCAUCGAAUCUUUGAACGCACAUUGCGCCCUGUGGUAUUCCGCAGGGCAUGCCUGUUCGAGCGUCAUUUCAACCCUCAAGCCCCGCUUGGUGUUGGGCCCCGCCCGCUGUGGCCGGCCCUAAAGACAGUGGCGGCGCCGCCUGGCCCUCAGCGUAGUAUAUCUCUCGCUCCAGGGUCCGGUGGCCGCCUGCCAGAACCCCCCAACUCUGUGGUUGACCUCGGAUCAGGUAGGGAUACCCGCUGAACUUAAGCAUAUCAAUAAGCGGAGGA